rnacentral:rRNA from 1 species
GUGCCAGCAGCCGCGGUAAUACGUAGGGUGCGAGCGUUGUCCGGAUUUAUUGGGCGUAAAGAGCUCGUAGGCGGUGUGUCGCGUCUAUCGUGAAAACCGGGAGCUUAACUCCUGGCUUGCGGUGGAUACGGGCAGACUUGAGUUCGGUAGGGGAGACUGGAAUUCCUGGUGUAGCGGUGAAAUGCGCAGAUAUCAGGAGGAACACCGGUGGCGAAGGCGGGUCUCUGGGCCGAUACUGACGCUGAGGAGCGAAAGCGUGGGGAGCGAACAGGAUUAGAUACCCUGGUAGUCC